rnacentral:lncRNA from 1 species
CUGAUUAUGCAUGGGCUGGAGCUGCCUCCUCUAACCUGUUCUUCUCCGAGCCGGGCAGCCGGCGGUCCUCAGCCGCCCACAGAACAGGAGCCGAAACAACCGUUCUCGAAGGCUACAGCGUUUAUUUUUCUCUUUUGGGGGGUUUUGGCGGUUGUUUCAGGGGCUCGCCAACUGGCCCCUUUAAUUAAAAGCUUCAAUAAAAGGCGAUCGCGCCAGGAAUGCACCCGCUCCUCUUCGCGCAGGAUUUGCAUAUUUUUUUAAUGCCCUAAUUUCCUUGAUGUAUGUAAAUGUAGCCGGACGUAGAGGGAGACAGGGAGCUGACGUCAAUGGACGUGACCUCGCAGCUAAACCUUGAACGUGAAGCCGGGAUGGGGGAAAACACGGAGCGGCAGCCGGCGGAGCCCGAGAGCGCGGGCGGCGGCGGCAGUAGCCGAGCCCAGGCCGGGGUGCCAAGGGACCAGUGCCGGCCCCGGGGGAGGACAAGCCGCCGCCUUCUUUCUGCACCGCGCGGCUCUCAGACUCGCCAGCCUUCCGGCCGCACACGCAGACUCUUGCCCUGAGCUUCCAGCCCCACCACACACACGUUCUUUUGCUUCCCUCAGAAAAGCAACACUCCCCAAAACAACAAACCAAAAUCAACAGAUAAAACAGAUGUUUUAGACCAAUGCUCGGGUAGCUUAUCAGAAAGAAGACUCUGACCACGGAACAUAUAUAUUUUUUGGCUUCUCUCCACAAGAAGAGGAGCGAGAGACCACAGACAACAGCAAAUCACUCCUAAAACACGAUAACUACAAGUGCUCCCUGUAGGGAGAGGUAAAUCGCCCAGCCGACUGGUGAAGUCUUCUGGUUUCGACGCCGAAAGAAGCCUGUUUGUGUGCUGCGGCCGUGCUGUGACUUUGGAUCUUGUCUUUCAGCCGGCGCCUCGGUUCCUGCCCAGCUGGAUUUGGGGGGCAGCAUUGCCUGGCGCAGGGAGAUCAAAUGAGACUGCAAAGAAGCAUAAAAUGAAUAGACAAUCCAACCAACCAAAGACCGGGGGCAGCAGCAGGCCAGCAAGACGGCAUCUUCUCCUUCCCAGCCUAGAAGCCCUGUGAAAUCGAGGAUCUUCCCCCUAAAACACAUACACACAAGAUAUGUGCAAUCAAGCUGCCACCGCUUGGUAAAAAGCCAUGGUGCCUAACCAAAAAGGAUCAGGAACAGAUCCUUGAAUCAGCUGUCACUUCUAUAGAAUGGGAUUUUUUUUUCCUUCCUCCUUAACCUGCGCUGGAAAUUGCCGUUGGCUUUAUACAUCUCUAUAGAGAGAGGCUAAAGAGUCUUGCGUGAGAAAGAAGCAAUUUACAAUGCAAAUAGAGGCCUGUGAAGGGACGGAUGCUGCUGCUCACUCGUAACAGCUUGCUGCACCUUAAUAGCUGGUUUUAUUUUCUGAUAUUAAUAGAUGAAUUGUUGGCUAACGCUGCCGGAGAUUACUUGCUGAAAGGAAAAAGAAAAGUUCGGAAUAAACUCUGAAGGCAACAGAUCUCGUUUGGAUGUUUUAGCCGCGCACACACACAAACAGAAACCAGGUCAUAUUUACAUAAAAGGAGGAAUCUUAAGCGCGGCAAGUAUCCUGGACGACCACUCUUCGGUACUGCCAGAAAGGAUCAGGACCUGGAGUCUGGCAAGAGGAAGACAGAGGCCUGUGUGGGAAGCGAGUUGUUAUCUUUGGUUAUCUAGCUGUAUGAGUGUAUUGGUCUUCAUAAAGCUAGAUAACCGAAAGUAAAAACUCCUUCAAGAUCGCCGGGGAGCGUGUGAGAAUGAAAGACUACAGCCGAGAGACAGUAAAAACCAGAAAGGUCAGGAAUACUUAUUGAAUCUAACUUUGUUUUUGUUUUGUUUUUUUCCUUAUGAUUAAAGGUGGGAUGAGAGAAAAUUAAAUGACACACACAUGCUAAAAUAUCAAGGUUCCAGAUAUGUCUUGAGAGGGGUUGUUGCAGCUGCAAAGGAGAAGUGUAUAGUGAUAAUGAGUAAAGAUGCAUGUGCAGUUUGUUCUAUUUUAAGGCAAAAGUUAUAUCAGGGAUUUUUUUCUUAGAAAGGUGUUGCAGAGAUGUCUGGUACCUAGUUUAAAAAUGAUUCCAUAAUAUGUAGACUUGGGCAGUUCCUUUGGGAGGCACCUCCCUCUCAAAAUUUGAAGAUUGUGCUUGGAAAUUACUUUACAUGUAUUUGGGCUGUAUGUCAAUUUGUACGAAAUUAGACUUUCAGAAAAGUUUAUACUGGAAGGUUAAUAAUUUGUAUCUACUGAGGACUUAGAGCUAGCAGGCAAAAUG